UUCAGCAGCUCUUUGAGCAAGGCGCUGGAGUUCGCUUCUUUGCUGAAGCUGCCAGGCUUCGGCAACUGCAUGGGCACAGCCAACUUCAUAGCCAUGGUGGACCGUGCAUUCGACCUGCUGAACUCCAGCAACCCUGUCGCCACUGGCUUCAAGGCUCCACUGCGACCAUCAACGUU
rnacentral:misc_RNA from 1 species